rnacentral:rRNA from 1 species
ACCCAAUAGAUACCCCGGUAGUCCACGCCGUAAACGAUGAUGACUCGACCUGUGCGGGGCUCAAAUCCCCGUGCGGGUCACAGCUAACGCGAUAAGUCAUCCGCCUGGGAAGUACGGUCGCAAGACUAAAACUCAAAGGAAUUGACGGGGACCCGCACAAGCAGCGGAGCGUGUGGUUUAAUUCGACGCAACGCGCACAACCUUACCCAGAUUUGACAUGGCGCUGCAAGCGUACGGAAACGUGCGACCUGCGAGGGUGCGCCACAGAUGCUGCAUGGCUGUCGUCAGCUCGUGUCGUGAGAUGUUUGGGUUAAGUCCCGCAACGAGCGCAACCCUCGUCGCCAGUUACCGCGUGUCUGGCGAGACUGCCCUUCGGGAGGAAGGCGGGAGUGACGUCAAGUCCGCAUGGCUCUUACGUCUGGGCGUACACACACGCUACAAUGGCGCCGGCAAUGCGCUGCGAGUGGGCAACCACGAGCUAAUCGCCAAGCGGCG